rnacentral:rRNA from 1 species
AUCCUGGCUCAGGAUGAACGCUAGCUACAGGCUUAAACACAUGCAAGUCGAGGGGCAGCAUGAACUUAGCUUGCUAAGUUUGAUGGCGACCGGCGCACGGGUGAGUAACACGUAUCCAACCUUCCGUUUACUCAGGGAUAGCCUUUCGAAAGAAAGAUUAAUACCUGAUAGUAUGGUGAGAUUGCAUGAUAACACCAUUAAAGAUUUAUCGGGUAAACGAUGGGGAUGCGUUCCAUUAGGUAGUAGGCGGGGUAACGGCCCACCUAGCCAACGAUGGAUAGGGGUUCUGAGAGGAAGGUCCCCCACAUUGGAACUGAGACACGGUCCAAACUCCUACGGGAGGCAGCAGUGAGGAAUAUUGGUCAAUGGGCGAGAGCCUGAACCAGCCAAGUAGCGUGAAGGAUGAAGGUUCUAUGGAUUGUAAACUUCUUUUAUAAGGGAAUAACAGACUCUACGUGUAGUGUUUUGCAUGUACCUUAUGAAUAAGCAUCGGCUAACUCCGUG